AGGAAACGGAGCCGACUGGCAACCGAGGGUGAAAGCUACUGGCCAUGCUGAGCUUGCCACCGUUUGGUUCUCCCGCGAGCCUGUCUUCGUUGGUGCACUGCCUGCUUUCUGGCAUUUUCCCUCUACGAUGCUCCGUUGCGUCUGAGGCAGUGAAGAGAUACCAGAACUUUGUGACUUUGGGAAGUCACUUAAUUUCUCUGGACGUUUUUCUUCAUUUGCAGAAUGGAAAUUGUAAUGGCACCUGUGUGAAUGAAAGACCAAGAAUCCUUGUAAAACAUUAGCACAGUGCCUGGGACAUUUACUAUUUUUUUUAUUAAAUGAGUUAAUGAUUUGAAUUGCCCCCUCUUCAUUAAGUGCUAAUGUGUACUAGGCACUGUGCUAAGCUUGGAGGUGAAGAGAUAAACUUUAAAUUGUGAUAAGCUUGAAGGUGAAGAAAUAAGGCAGAGCUUCCUAGGGCGGCUGCCAAAAUGGAGUAACGUGUGGGCCCUCAUUUGCACCUCCUCUGAUGGAGAUAUCUGUGGGUUGUGGCCUCGUGGGGCUUUCCUGGAGGCCAGCUUCAUGGCACUUCACUAGUGCAGGAGCUAGCUGCUCUCUUUGGGCUACAAAGAAGCCCAAAACACAGCCCCAAGCAGGAACCAGCUUAGAAGUAUCCCUCAAGGGAAUAAACCUGGGGAUCUUCCUGGAAAGAGAGAGACAGACAGGAGGUCCUGAGGAAGGGCAGAAGGGACAAGGAAAGCAGCUCCCAGCUUCAGCAGUCUGCAAACCAGCCUGUCAAUUUGAAGGACACAUAGCCUGGGGGAUAGGGUGGGGCUUGUUAAGGCAUUAAGAAGGCCAGACCCCAAGACCUGCCAGAGAUAACCAGCAGGGACUAGAGGAGCAGACAGUUUGCACAACUUAGCUCUAAGUGUUGUAGCCUGUUCUGGCCUGGAGAAGACAAGGGGAUACAACAGCUGUAGCCACAAGCCUGACUAGGCCCCAAAACUUUGGAGAACUAGGUCUGGAGGUACAAACCUGUUCCUGGGCCUGAUUCCUGGAUGGAUCUACUGAGCUCCAAAUAGUUUCCAGAGGAAGCCACAGUCUUACAGCAGAAAUUGUCCACAGGCAUUUUCCAGUACCUCCAGUAAUUGGUUAAACAGCAGAUGUGGUCGUGGGCAUCCUUGUGUUUUUCCAGCUCUUAAGGGGAGUGCAUUUAAAUUUUUUCUAUUAAACAUAACAUUUGCUCCAGGUUGUUUGUAUAUACUCUUUCCCAAAUUAAGGAACAUUCUUCUUAGUUUUCUAAGAGUUAUUUAUUCCUUAAGGUGAUCAUCUUUAGCAAAAAAAAAAAAAAAGCUUUUCAUCAAUUGUUAUCAAUUGAUAUAUUUGUAAGAAUUAUCUCCUUUAGUCUACUACUGAAGUGUGUUAACAGAUUUUGUGAUGUUACAUUUAUGGAAUGAAAUCCAUCUGAUCAUAAUACAUAUGUAAAGAAGGUAUACUUUUGGGCUUAGCUAAUAGUUUAUUUAGGAUUUUUAAAAAAUCAAUUUAUAACUGAAAUGGGCCUAUAAUUUUCUUUUCUUUUAACUAUCCUGAUGUGAUUUUGGAAUCAGAAUUAUGCUUGUCUUCUAAAAUGAGUCAGGAACCUUCAUUUUUUUUCUACCCUUUGAACAAUGCGCAACACACACACAUUCACACUCACACAUACAUUUUAGUUUAGUAGAAAUGACCUAUAAAACCCUCAGGACUUUUUUUGUUUGGGGGCAAAGGGAGUCUUUAAGGAUUAUUUUAAACACUUAUUAGUCUAUCUCUUCUUGAUUUCAACAUUAGUAGUUUAUAUUUGCCUCACAAGAAUAGCUAAAAGUGAAAAGACUGACAAUACCAAGUGUUGGUGAGGAUGUGAAGCAACAGAACUCUCAUACAUUACUGGUGGAAAUAAAAUUAUUACAACUACAUAGAAACAUUGACACUAUCUACCAAAGUCAAACUUCCAUAUCCCUGAUGUCACAGCAGUUCUACUCCUAGGUAUAUUCCUAAGAGAAAUAAGUGCUUAUGUUCACAGAAAGACAUAUACAGAAAUGAUCAUAACACUGUUAUUCAUAAUAGUCCCAAACUGGAAACAAUUCAAAAGUCUCUCAAAAGUAUAAAUAAUAGUAUAGUCAUACAAUGGAAUACCACAAGCAAUGAGAAAGAAAAAAAUACUGCUACAUGCAACGAUAUGAAUGCAUCUCACUGACAAAAUGUUGUAUGAAAGAAGAAAGGCACAAAGGAAUACAUAAUGUAUAAUUUCAUUCACAUGAAGUUCAAAACCAGACAAAACUAAUCUAUCAUGAUAGAGAUCAAAACAGUGGGAGGGGCACCAAUGGGGAGAAGGCACGAGCCUCUUGGAGUGCUGGGAAUGUUCUACAUCUUGAUCUGGGUGUUGGCAUACAUUCCUAUGUAAACAUCGUUGAGCUGGUACAUUUAAGAAUGUGCCUUUUAUUUUAUGAAAGUUAUACCUCAAUAAAAAGGAAGCAACUACUAACCAUAUAGGAAAUAAUUGAUAAAUUUGACUAUGUAAAGGUAAGUUACAACCCUAGGGUUAACAAAAGUUAAAUCUUAAAAUUUAGUGUUUUGUUGACCAAACAACAAGGAGGUCUUUGUGAAUAAAUUAAUACCUUCCGUUACACCUAUAUGAAUAAAACUCGACAAAUAAAACAAAAAUCAGGCUAGGUGUGGUGGCUCAUGCCUAUAAUCCCAAUACUUCGGGAGGCCAAGGUGGGUGAAUCGCUCGAGCCCAGGAGUUCAAGGCCAGUCUAGGCAAUAUGGUGAAAUCUCAUUUCUACAAAAAAUACAAAAAUUAGCUGAGUGUGGUGGCGCACACCUGUUGUCCCAGCUACCUGGGAGGCUGAGGUGGGAGGAUCACCUCAGCCCAGAAGGUUGAGGCUGCAGUGAGCUGUUAUGGUGCUCCAUAUGGAGCUCCAGCCUGGGUGACAGAGCAAGACACUGUCUCAAAACAAUGACAGCAACAAAACAUCAGAUCAAAUCAGAAAUCACUAAAGAAACUUGGAUGGGCAAAUCUGUGCUUAUGAAUGGUAAUAGACCCCAAAGAGGGGCUGGAGCAAGACUGACAUCUUUCUCUGCCUGUAUUUUGAGUAGACUUGCAAAUCACAUCCCUCAAUCAGGGAAGAAGUGAAAAAAAAAAACAAAAAAAAAAACAAGCACUUUGUUCCUGGAGAUAAACAAAACAAUACAAAAAUAGGGCCACACUGAAUAAUUCUAAACCCAAAAUAAAUGAAAGCUUUAUUCUUUCCAGUACCCUACUACUGAUGCUGUAGCAAAGACAACUUUAUUCCCGAUUUUUGCAAUGCUGAUCCCUGACAGAACUCUCAUAAUUUUGAGAGAGAAUUGCUGUUUUUCCACCAUGAACAAAUUGAAACAGAGUCUCACUAUGUUGCUCAGGCCGGUCUCAAACUCCUGGUCUCAAGUGAUCCUCCCACCUCAGCCUCCCAAAGUGCUGGGAUUACAGGCAUGAGCCACCACACCUGGCCAGCUUAUUCAUUAAAAACAAACAAAAACACUGAGAUGGGUUCUAAACAAAGUUGUCUGGGGGUCUUUCUAGCAGGGGGUGACCUGAAGUUACAUGUUUUCCUCCCAUCUCUAGGCAAGAGCACACACACCUUAUUCUAGAGUGAAAGGCCAGAGUACGCUGGAGAGAAUAGGGGAGUUGUUUGUAUCCCUCCAUAUCCCCUCAUGGAAACUGAGUACCAGAAACACUUUUUCUAUUUUAUAAAAUGAAAUGUUACCUGAUUCUAGAAUGACAAAUAAAGCCAAUUGAGAUCUUUAAAGAAAAUUGUUGUGGGGAUGAGAUUCUAAAUAAAAAAAGGAAAAAAGAAGAGUGCCACCAGUUGAGUUCCUUGGAAGCAGACUCUGAAACAGAUCAGCAUGGUGGAAGUUUAUUAGGGCGUACUCUCAGUAUCAACACCUGUGGAGGGAAAGAGAAAAGCAUGACCGGGCAAAGGGGGAAGUGUGACAGUGACUGAAGUCCCAAUAAGGCCUUAGUUGAUCCCAUGGGUAGACUGACCCGUCAGAAUUGUCCCCAGAUGGGGUGAGGAGCCCAGGCCCUUAUCUUCCCAUGUCAACCAGCCAUCAGAUGUGAGCAAUCCUGAGAAGGAGGCUAUUCUUGAGUAAGGUAACUCUAUUCAGUGAAACAAUUUUAGCUUUCAGCUGCUGGGGAGACAGAGAGAUCUAUGUGGCAUAGAACCCCCCAAGCAAAGUAACAAGGAAAGAAAAGGGAAAAAAAAGAUGCAAGUGAUUGCUUCAACAAACCAGGGGACAAAAUAUCCCCCACAAACCUUAGAAUAUGAGCUGGUGCAACCAAACUGCAGAAGGACCUGUGGAGUAUCAUCAACAGUGAAGGAGGAGGCACAGAGAAGCCAAAGGCUGAAUUUAGAAAUCACCAGAAAGUACUCACCUGCGAAAGGAAGGCGCCCACUCAGACUGGAGACCUUGGCUGGUGAAACAGAACAGUCACAGCUGGAGGCAGCUAUGCAGGUUCUGGUU